rnacentral:rRNA from 1 species
GAUGAACGCUAGCUACAGGCUUAACACAUGCAAGUCGCGGGACCGGCGCCCGGGUGAGUAACGCGUAUCCACCCUGCCCUUCACCACGGGAUAACCCGGCGACAGUCGGACUAAUACCGUAUGGUGACUGAUGGGGAUGCGUACGAUUAGCUUGACGUCGGGGUAACGGCCCACCGUGGCUACGAGCGGUAUGGUGUCUGAGAGGAAGGUCACCCAAACUGGAACUGAGAAACGGUCCAGACUACUACGGGAGGCAGCAGGGAGGAAUAUUGGUCAAUGGGAGUAAGCCUGAACCAGCCAAGUAGCGUGCAGGACGACGGCCUAUGGGUUGUAAACUGCUUUUAUGCGGGGAUAGGUACCGCAUGAAUAAGGACCGGCUAAUUCCGUGCCAGCAGCCGCGGUAAUUC